ACUUGCCUGGAAAGCUCCUGUGAAGGGCCAGCCACAGCCCCUGACUGCACUGAGAAUUGAAGCUGUCCACAGCCUAUCUGUACCCCGGUGACUGGAGGAACCCUUUGGAGAUGACUGGCCCAGCCAAACACAGAGGACCUGACAUCUCAUGGGAAACCCCAACACAGACUCUGAUGAUGUAGUGCUUGUGGGAGAGAACAAAGAGAAAGGAGAAGAAGAUUUAGAGAGAUGGACGUACAUACUUGAAAGUAUGGCAUGGAAAUCAGCAGAAAUAAAACAAUGUAUAAGGGCUGUAGAUUCAAUGAUACCUUACAGGAAGACAAGAAGACUGUAAGUCAGAGGAAGGGAGAGAAGGGGAGCCACUACCAAAUGUACAGAAAUGGGAAAAAAUGGUUAAAAUAGAGAUGGCAUUGGUCUGAGUCACCCAAUGUGAGCCUGCAACGUACAUACCCAGAAGUAAUCAGGUAACUAGGCUUAUCACAGUCAGCACCACUGCCCUUGUGCUGGGAGAGGAGACGAUAAAAGGGAGUCCAGAACAAAGACCUUGCUUUCCUGGUCUGUUGCACAAUUAAUGAAGAAAAAGAGUGGCAGUUGGGCUGCAUGCUCAGGAAAAAUGGACAACUCACCUCCCAAAACUUGGGCUGAUAUGCUGGCCCCAAAGCAGCAUAGGAAUUUUACAAAGAAACUUGCAUAUGACAAACAUACUUCAGUACCAGUGUGAGUCUGAACGGCUGGUUCAAGUCAAGUGGCCCAAACCCAAAUAUACAGAAAGUCAUUUGACUGCAAGAGUGUAAGCAAAAAGAAGAGUUCACAUGUGGCUUUAUGCUCCUGUUAAAUCUGGUGGACAGUAAUACAUACAUGAAAUUAUUUACUGCCUACAAAACACUUGACAAUGGCUAGGCAGCUGGUAUGCUGUGACUGCUGCUUGUUAUGCUAAUCAUAAUAGUCUCAAUGCUACUUGUGCUGCUCCCCCAUUUGUUUAUUGUACCCACCUGUUUUCUCUCAUCACAUAUUAACAGUAUAAACUCUGUGGGACUCUGUGUGUGUGUAUGUGUGCAAUGUUAGCACAACAGCUCCAGGAUUGCGGUUUCUAGUUCAAUACAUAAUAAUCAGGAAUAACAUUUAGAGAUGAAUUUGAUCCACAUUGGGCAGGUCUUUCAACACACCGACUUUCAAGGGCUAUUGCACCAUUUUGCAGAGCUUUGCACAUGAGGAUGAUGUGUGUGACCAAAAGGAAGCUGAGUCACGCUAAGUGCAUACAUCAUCCCAAAUGUGUGAGUCAGUGGUCAAGCAAUGAUUUAUAUGUCAGUCACCUGACAGGAAAUGUUCCAGGCUGUUGGCUCUGCACCACCCAGAUCCUCCAGAGCAAACGUCCUCAAGAAACAUGCAGCACAACACAAGACAAAGGUAGAAAAGGACCACAUUGUGCUGCUGCACUAAUUUGGAGUGUGACUUCCCGCCCGUAAGUGAUUAGGCCCUUGUGUCAAUCAGUGACAGCCACAGAGUCAAUCAGUGAUAACCAGGGUGACAUCUGAUGGCUAGAUACAAGUACAGGGCUUGGUUUUCAGAGAAUGCAUUUUAAGGGGUUAUAGCUAGUUGGAACAUUUCGAUGAAAAACAGAAACAAAAUGUAAUUUAUUCUU